rnacentral:rRNA from 1 species
AGAGUUUGAUCAUGGCUCAGAGCGAACGCUGGCGGCGUGCCUAACACAUGCAAGUCGAACGUGAAAUGGGGCAACCCAAAGUAAAGUGGCGUACGGGUGAGUAACACGUAGGUAAUCUACCGAAGAGUCUGGAAUAACCUGCCGAAAGGCGGGCUAAUACUGGAUAGAGCGACGGGACCCGUAAUCGGGUCUUUCGGGAA